CAGAUUAAUGCAAUAUUAGAUUUUAUUUCUCUUUGGCUACAUUUAGCAUCUAGCUCACUGUUAGCUUCACAUCCACUCCAUAUACACUGCUGAGUCGUUUCCUGAUUCUUCUCAGCCGCUUGAUGGAGUUUAGCGCAGCCGCUUCGGGUGCAUUACUGCCACCUACCGAACUACUGGGUACACGACUCAACGGUUCAUCAUCACCUCGAGUCGAUGUCUGUGUGGAGUUUGUGGUUCUGAUGGAAACCUGUUUAUCAACCCGAGGUUGACGCCUGCAAGUUGAGACUGCUGUGUUGACAAUGCAGCUCCUGCUAGAUGUGACGAUAUAAUCAAAUGUGACGCUGAGAUCCUUGGCGUACUCCUCGUCGUACCACACCAGCAGCUCCUGUCCCGGUCCGACGGGUCGACAGCACCGGUACAGAAUCCCUCCUCGGUACUGGAACACCACCAGGUUCUGCUCCUGAUCAUAACGAGCACAGUUCACGUACCUGAGAGGACCAGGGACAGAAACCAGAGAGAAUCAAACAGGAAAUGUAUGCAGGCUUCUUCUGAAACUCUCCGCCCUGUUGGUCUACAGGGUAGACGUGCCCUACAGAGAUUGAAGUUUCUCCAUCUGAAGUUCUACAAGCUUCCGUCUUCACAUUCUUCAAAUAAAAACACAGUAAAACUCA